rnacentral:rRNA from 1 species
AGAGUUUGAUCAUGGCUCAGAACAAACGCUGGCGGCGUGUCUUAAGCAUGCAAGUUGAGCGGCAAAGGGGGAGCGAUCCCCCCUAGAGCGGCGGACUGGUGAGUAACACGUGGAUGAUCUACCCGAGGCAUGGGGAUAGUCACUAGAAAUAGUGGGUAAUACCGAAUACGGUGCGCAUCGUGAGGGUGCGCAAGAAAGGUGCUACGGCACCGGCCUAGGAUGAGUCUGCGUCCCAUUAGCUGGUUGGUGAGGUAAGAGCCCACCAAGGCGAUGAUGGGUAGCCGGCCUGAGAGGGUGUACGGCCACACUGGGACUGAGAUACGGCCCAGACUCCUACGGGAGGCAGCAGCUAAGAAUAUUCCGCAAUGGACGAAAGUCUGACGGAGCGACGCCGCGUGGAUGAAGAAGGCCGAAAGGUUGUAAAGUUCUUUUGUUGGGGAAGAAUAACCAUGGGAGGGAAUGCCCGUGGGAUGACGUGAACCGACGAAUAAGCCCCGGCUAACUACGUGCCAGCAGCCGCGGUAACACGUAGGGGGCGAGCGUUGUUCGGAAUUACUGGGCGUAAAGGGCAUGUAGGCGGUCUUGUAAGCUUGGCGUGAAAGACCACGGCUCAACCGUGGGAUUGCGUUGAGAACUGCGAGGCUUGAGUGACGGAGAGGGAGCUAGAAUUCCUGGUGUAGGGGUGGAAUCUGUAGAGAUCAGGAAGAAUACCAAUGGCGAAGGCAAGCUCCUGGCCGAUGACUGACGCUGAGGUGCGAAAGUGUGGGGAUCAAACAGGAUUAGAUACCCUGGUAGUCCACACUGUAAACGAUGUGCACUAGGUGCUGGUACGGAUGUAUCAGUGCCGUAGCUAACGUGAUAAGUGCACCGCCUGGGGAGUAUGCUCGCAAGGGUGAAACUUAAAUGAAUUGACGG